ACUUAAAUUGAAGAGUUUGAUCAUGGCUCAGAUUGAACGCUGGCGGCAGGCCUAACACAUGCAAGUCGAGCGGUAGCACAGAGAGCUUGCUCUCGGGUGACGAGCGGCGGACGGGUGAGUAAUGUCUGGGAAACUGCCUGAUGGAGGGGGAUAACUACUGGAAACGGUAGCUAAUACCGCAUAAUGUCGCAAGACCAAAGUGGGGGACCUUCGGGCCUCAUGCCAUCAGAUGUGCCCAGAUGGGAUUAGCUAGUAGGUGGGGUAAUGGCUCACCUAGGCGACGAUCCCUAGCUGGUCUGAGAGGAUGACCAGCCACACUGGAACUGAGACACGGUCCAGACUCCUACGGGAGGCAGCAGUGGGGAAUAUUGCACAAUGGGCGCAAGCCUGAUGCAGCCAUGCCGCGUGUGUGAAGAAGGCCUUCGGGUUGUAAAGCACUUUCAGCGGGGAGGAAGGCGUUAAGGUUAAUAACCUUGGCGAUUGACGUUACCCGCAGAAGAAGCACCGGCUAACUCCGUGCCAGCAGCCGCGGUAAUACGGAGGGUGCAAGCGUUAAUCGGAAUUACUGGGCGUAAAGCGCACGCAGGCGGUCUGUCAAGUCGGAUGUGAAAUCCCCGGGCUCAACCUGGGAACUGCAUUCGAAACUGGCAGGCUAGAGUCUUGUAGAGGGGGGUAGAAUUCCAGGUGUAGCGGUGAAAUGCGUAGAGAUCUGGAGGAAUACCGGUGGCGAAGGCGGCCCCCUGGACAAAGACUGACGCUCAGGUGCGAAAGCGUGGGGAGCAAACAGGAUUAGAUACCCUGGUAGUCCACGCCGUAAACGAUGUCGAUUUGGAGGUUGUGCCCUUGAGGCGUGGCUUCCGGAGCUAACGCGUUAAAUCGACCGCCUGGGGAGUACGGCCGCAAGGUUAAAACUCAAAUGAAUUGACGGGGGCCCGCACAAGCGGUGGAGCAUGUGGUUUAAUUCGAUGCAACGCGAAGAACCUUACCUGGUCUUGACAUCCACAGAACUUUCCAGAGAUGGAUUGGUGCCUUCGGGAACUGUGAGACAGGUGCUGCAUGGCUGUCGUCAGCUCGUGUUGUGAAAUGUUGGGUUAAGUCCCGCAACGAGCGCAACCCUUAUCCUUUGUUGCCAGCGGUUAGGCCGGGAACUCAAAGGAGACUGCCAGUGAUAAACUGGAGGAAGGUGGGGAUGACGUCAAGUCAUCAUGGCCCUUACGACCAGGGCUACACACGUGCUACAAUGGCAUAUACAAAGAGAAGCGACCUCGCGAGAGCAAGCGGACCUCAUAAAGUAUGUCGUAGUCCGGAUUGGAGUCUGCAACUCGACUCCAUGAAGUCGGAAUCGCUAGUAAUCGUAGAUCAGAAUGCUACGGUGAAUACGUUCCCGGGCCUUGUACACACCGCCCGUCACACCAUGGGAGUGGGUUGCAAAAGAAGUAGGUAGCUUAACCUUCGGGAGGGCGCUUACCACUUUGUGAUUCAUGACUGGGGUGAAGUCGUAACAAGGUAACCGUAGGGGAACCUGCGGUUGGAUCACCUCCUUACCUUAAAGAA
rnacentral:rRNA from 1 species